AUAUGUAGGUGGGAGAUACCAUCUCCAAGACUUUGCUCAAGCUCCACUCAUUUUCUCCUGUUAAAAAUGCAUUCCUGCACUUCUUUCACCUCAUUUCUAGAUCCAUAUCUAAUGGUGCUGAUAAGAGGGGAAAAAAAAUAAAAAAGAGAAGAAAAGAACUACCAGCCUGACCUCAUGGAUUGCCUCAGCAUCCCUGUGUGUAAACCUGGUGAUGGCGUAAGGGGUUGCUUUAGAAGAAAUUCUUGCUUUUUUGGGAGCAGGACUCUGAUAUAGAUUAAAAUCAGCAACUGUCUUUUGAUUGGUGAAAAGGACGGACUACCUGGUCAAUCAGCUGAUGAAUUUGGAGAGCCUUAUGGGGCAGAAAUAUGAAGGAAGCAAAAAGAAAGCAGACACGUUUGAUGGAAAAAUUGUGGCUACCAAUAUAAGUCUCUCCGCACCCAAUAUACUUCAUCAUCCCAGAAAAGGCGCUCUGGGGCUCACAAGCUGUGAUGUGCCUGAGCAGUUCAAGGAACAGAAGUGAAAGUUCAUCUGCUGACCUCCUUUGGCAUUGCAGCUGCUGAAUAUUGGGAAAAUACACAAUAGCUGGAGGAAACAUUGUGCCAUUGGAAUGAUACAGCCAUGAAAGCUGAUGAUCUAAGUCAGGGGUCUGGCAUUUGAUUAACUGCAUUUUCCUUUGGAGAUAUAAAAGUCUGAUGACAAACAGAGUCCCUUAGCAUGGAUAGGACCAUGCAAGAUACAGAAGACUGAAGCAUGCUGUUACUUAUUUCAUAAAGUUGGAAGAAAUUUGCUACAAUAAAAUCAGAUUUCUUUAUUU
rnacentral:lncRNA from 7 species